rnacentral:rRNA from 1 species
UUAAGCGACUAAGCGUACACGGUGGAUGCCCUGGCAGUCAGAGGCGAUGAAGGACGUGCUAAUCUGCGAAAAGCGCCGGCGAGGUGAUAUGAACCUUUGACCCGGCGAUGUCCGAAUGGGGAAACCCAGUGUGUUCCGACACACUAUCGUUAACUGAAUACAUAGGUUAACGAGGCGAACCGGGGGAACUGAAACAUCUAAGUACCCCGAGGAAAAGAAAUCAACCGAGAUUCCCCCAGUAGCGGCGAGCGAACGGGGAGCAGCCCAGAGUCUGAAUCAGCUUGUGUGUUAGUGGAAGCGUCUGGAAAGUCGCACGGUACAGGGUGACAGUCCCGUACACGAAAGCACACAGGCUGUGAACUCGAAGAGUAGGGCGGGACACGUGGUAUCCUGUCUGAAUAUGGGGGGACCAUCCUCCAAGGCUAAAUACUCCUGACUGACCGAUAGUGAACCAGUACCGUGAGGGAAAGGCGAAAAGAACCCCGGCGAGGGGAGUGAAAAAGAACCUGAAACCGUGUACGUACAAGCAGUGGGAGCCUCUUUUAUGGGGUGACUGCGUACCUUUUGUAUAAUGGGUCAGCGACUUAUAUUCUGUAGCAAGGUUAACCGUAUAGGGGAGCCGAAGGGAAACCGAGUCUUAACUGGGCGUUAAGUUGCAGGGUAUAGACCCGAAACCCGGUGAUCUAGCCAUGGGCAGGUUGAAGGUUGGGUAACACUAACUGGAGGACCGAACCGACUAAUGUUGAAAAAUUAGCGGAUGACUUGUGGCUGGGGGUGAAAGGCCAAUCAAACCGGGAGAUAGCUGGUUCUCCCCGAAAGCUAUUUAGGUAGCGCCUCGUGAACUCAUCUUCGGGGGUAGAGCACUGUUUCGGCUAGGGGGCCAUCCCGGCUUACCAACCCGAUGCAAACUACGAAUACCGAAGAAUGUUAUCACGGGAGACACACGGCGGGUGCUAACGUCCGUCGUGAAGAGGGAAACAACCCAGACCGCCAGCUAAGGUCCCAAAGUCAUGGUUAAGUGGGAAACGAUGUGGGAAGGCACAGACAGCCAGGAUGUUGGCUUAGAAGCAGCCAUCAUUUAAAGAAAGCGUAAUAGCUCACUGGUCGAGUCGGCCUGCGCGGAAGAUGUAACGGGGCUAAACCAUGCACCGAAGCUGCGGCAGCGACGCUUAUGCGUUGUUGGGUAGGGGAGCGUUCUGUAAGCCGUUGAAGGUGUCCUGUGAGGGAUGCUGGAGGUAUCAGAAGUGCGAAUGCUGACAUAAGUAACGAUAAAGCGGGUGAAAAGCCCGCUCGCCGGAAGACCAAGGGUUCCUGUCCAACGUUAAUCGGGGCAGGGUGAGUCGACCCCUAAGGCGAGGCCGAAAGGCGUAGUCGAUGGGAAACAGGUUAAUAUUCCUGUACUUGGUGUUACUGCGAAGGGGGGACGGAGAAGGCUAUGUUAGCCGGGCGACGGUUGUCCCGGUUUAAGCAUGUAGGCGGAACGAUUAGGUAAAUCCGGUCGUUUAUUAACGCUGAGGUGUGAUGACGAGGCACUACGGUGCUGAAGUAACAAAUGCCCUGCUUCCAGGAAAAGCCUCUAAGCAUCAGGUAACAUCAAAUCGUACCCCAAACCGACACAGGUGGUCAGGUAGAGAAUACCAAGGCGCUUGAGAGAACUCGGGUGAAGGAACUAGGCAAAAUGGUGCCGUAACUUCGGGAGAAGGCACGCUGAUAUGUAGGUGAAGCCCCUGCGGGUGGAGCUGAAAUCAGUCGAAGAUACCAGCUGGCUGCAACUGUUUAUUAAAAACACAGCACUGUGCAAACACGAAAGUGGACGUAUACGGUGUGACGCCUGCCCGGUGCCGGAAGGUUAAUUGAUGGGGUUAGCGGUAACGCGAAGCUCUUGAUCGAAGCCCCGGUAAACGGCGGCCGUAACUAUAACGGUCCUAAGGUAGCGAAAUUCCUUGUCGGGUAAGUUCCGACCUGCACGAAUGGCGUAAUGAUGGCCAGGCUGUCUCCACCCGAGACUCAGUGAAAUUGAACUCGCUGUGAAGAUGCAGUGUACCCGCGGCAAGACGGAAAGACCCCGUGAACCUUUACUAUAGCUUGACACUGAACACUGGUCCUUGAUGUGUAGGAUAGGUGGGAGGCUUUGAAGCGUGGACGCCAGUCUGCGUGGAGCCAACCUUGAAAUACCACCCUUUAAUGGCUGGUGUUCUAACGUAGACCCGUAAUCCGGGUUGCGGACAGUGUCUGGUGGGUAGUUUGACUGGGGCGGUCUCCUCCCAAAGAGUAACGGAGGAGCACGAAGGUUAGCUAAUCCUGGUCGGACAUCAGGAGGUUAGUGCAAUGGCAUAAGCUAGCUUGACUGCGAGAGUGACGGCUCGAGCAGGUGCGAAAGCAGGUCAUAGUGAUCCGGUGGUUCUGAAUGGAAGGGCCAUCGCUCAACGGAUAAAAGGUACUCCGGGGAUAACAGGCUGAUACCGCCCAAGAGUUCAUAUCGACGGCGGUGUUUGGCACCUCGAUGUCGGCUCAUCACAUCCUGGGGCUGAAGUAGGUCCCAAGGGUAUGGCUGUUCGCCAUUUAAAGUGGUACGCGAGCUGGGUUUAGAACGUCGUGAGACAGUUCGGUCCCUAUCUGCCGUGGGCGCUGGAGAAUUGAGGGGGGCUGCUCCUAGUACGAGAGGACCGGAGUGGACGCAUCACUGGUGUUCGGGUUGUCAUGCCAAUGGCACUGCCCGGUAGCUAAAUGCGGAAGAGAUAAGUGCUGAAAGCAUCUAAGCACGAAACUUGCCCCGAGAUGAGUUCUCCCUGAGACUUUAAGUCUCCUGAAGGAACGUUGAAGACUACGACGUUGAUAGGUCGGGUGUGUAAGCGCAGCGAUGCGUUGAGCUAACCGAUACUAAUGAACCGUGAGGCUUAACCUU